rnacentral:tRNA from 1 species
UCCCAUGUGGCUCAGUUUGAAGAGCUUGGCACUUGCAAUGCCAGGGUUGUCUGUUCGAUUCACACUGGGAG